rnacentral:tRNA from 1 species
GUGCGCGUAAUUUAAAAAAAAUAUCAAGCUGUGACCUUGACAAUAGGGGUUAACCCCUCACACACC